UCUUCACAGUUUGAAUGAGGUUUGAGAGGAGAAUGAGUGUGUGAGCGUUUGAGCGAGUGAUUGUAGCUUGUUUUGUUUGUUUGUUUGUUUGUGUGAGUGAGUGUUACUGUAAAAACCUACACACUGAUCUUAUUUGAUCUGGUCUGAGUUCGGCUCUGCUCGGAUCAGAGAUGAUAGGAAAAGCGCUUGUGAGCCCUCGGCGGCGAUGCGCACAGGCAUGAGUUAACCUGUAGAGCCUCCACAUUUCGUGUUGUGGUUAGAGAUGAUGAAUUGAUCAGAUAUACUAGUUCUGACCGAGCUUGGGUUCACCUCGAGCUUCACGGCGGACAAUGAGUAAAGAGGCGAUUCUGAUCUUC
ensembl:scaRNA small Cajal body-specific RNA 2